GAAUGCUGACAUAAGUAACGAUAAAGCGGGUGAAAAGCCCGCUCGCCGGAAGACCAAGGGUUCCUGUCCAACGUUAAUCGGGGCAGGGUGAGUCGACCCCUAAGGCGAGGCCGAAAGGCGUAGUCGAUGGGAAACAGGUUAAUAUUCCUGUACUUGGUGUUACUGCGAAGGGGGGACGGAGAAGGCUAUGUUGGCCGGGCGACGGUUGUCCCGGUUUAAGCGUGUAGGCUGGUUUUCCAGGCAAAUCCGGAAAAUCAAGGCUGAGGCGUGAUGACGAGGCACUACGGUGCUGAAGCGACAAAUGCCCUGCUUCCAGGAAAAGCCUCUAAGCAUCAGGUAACAUCAAAUCGUACCCCAAACCGACACAGGUGGUCAGGUAGAGAAUACCAAGGCGCUUGAGAGAACUCGGGUGAAGGAACUAGGCAAAAUGGUGCCGUAACUUCGGGAGAAGGCACGCUGAUAUGUAGGUGAAGCGACUUGCUCGUGGAGCUGAAAUCAGUCGAAGAUACCAGCUGGCUGCAACUGUUUAUUAAAAACACAGCACUGUGCAAACACGAAAGUGGACGUAUACGGUGUGACGCCUGCCCGGUGCCGGAAGGUUAAUUGAUGGGGUUAGCGGUAACGCGAAGCUCUUGAUCGAAGCCCCGGUAAACGGCGGCCGUAACUAUAACGGUCCUAAGGUAGCGAAAUUCCUUGUCGGGUAAGUUCCGACCUGCACGAAUGGCGUAAUGAUGGCCAGGCUGUCUCCACCCGAGACUCAGUGAAAUUGAACUCGCUGUGAAGAUGCAGUGUACCCGCGGCAAGACGGAAAGACCCCGUGAACCUUUACUAUAGCUUGACACUGAACAUUGAGCCUUGAUGUGUAGGAUAGGUGGGAGGCUUUGAAGUGUGGACGCCAGUCUGCAUGGAGCCGACCUUGAAAUACCACCCUUUAAUGUUUGAUGUUCUAACGUGGGCCCCUUACCGGGGUUGCGGACAGUGUCUGGUGGGUAGUUUGACUGGGGCGGUCUCCUCCUAAAGAGUAACGGAGGAGCACGAAGGUUGGCUAAUCCUGGUCGGACAUCAGGAGGUUAGUGCAAUGGCAUAAGCCAGCUUGACUGCGAGCGUGACGGCGCGAGCAGGUGCGAAAGCAGGUCAUAGUGAUCCGGUGGUUCUGAAUGGAAGGGCCAUCGCUCAACGGAUAAAAGGUACUCCGGGGAUAACAGGCUGAUACCGCCCAAGAGUUCAUAUCGACGGCGGUGUUUGGCACCUCGAUGUCGGCUCAUCACAUCCUGGGGCUGAAGUAGGUCCCAAGGGUAUGGCUGUUCGCCAUUUAAAGUGGUACGCGAGCUGGGUUUAGAACGUCGUGAGACAGUUCGGUCCCUAUCUGCCGUGGGCGCUGGAGAACUGAGGGGGGCUGCUCCUAGUACGAGAGGACCGGAGUGGACGCAUCACUGGUGUUCGGGUUGUCAUGCCAAUGGCACUGCCCGGUAGCUAAAUGCGGAAGAGAUAAGUGCUGAAAGCAUCUAAGCACGAAACUUGCCCCGAGAUGAGUUCUCCCUGACUCCUUGAGAGUCCUGAAGGAACGUUGA
rnacentral:rRNA from 1 species